AUUGAACGCUGGCGGCAUGCUCUACACAUGCAAGUCGAACGGCAGCGCGGGCUUCGGCCUGGCGGCGAGUGGUGAACGGGUGAGUAAUGCAUCGGAACGUGCCCAGUAGUGGGGGAUAGCCCGGCGAAAGCCGGAUUAAUACCGCAUACGACCUGAGGGUGAAAGCGGGGGACCGAAAGGCCUCGCGCUAUUGGAGCGGCCGAUGUCGGAUUAGCUAGUUGGUGGGGUAAAGGCUUACCAAGGCGACGAUCCGUAGCUGGUCUGAGAGGACGACCAGCCACACUGGGACUGAGACACGGCCCAGACUCCUACGGGAGGCAGCAGUGGGGAAUUUUGGACAAUGGGGGCAACCCUGAUCCAGCCAUGCCGCGUGCGGGAAGAAGGCCUUCGGGUUGUAAACCGCUUUUGUUCGGGAAGAAAUCCUCUGGGCUAAUACCCCGGGGGGAUGACGGUACCGGAAGAAUAAGCACCGGCUAACUACGUG
rnacentral:rRNA from 1 species